UACGGGGGGAGCAAGCGUUGUUCGGAUUUACUGGGCGUAAAGGGCGCGUAGGCGGCCACUGCAAGUCGGUUGUGAAAUCUCCGGGCUUAACCCGGAAAGGUCAGCCGAUACUGCGGGGCUAGAGUGCAGAAGGGGCAACUGGAAUUCUCGGUGUAGCGGUGAAAUGCGCAGAUAUCAGGAGGAACACCGGUGGCGAAGGCGGGUCUCUGGGCCGAUACUGACGCUGAGGAGCGAAAGCGUGGGGAGCGAACAGG
rnacentral:rRNA from 1 species